UUGUGAAAAAUGCCGAAUUCCCGUCGAACGGGAAGCGGGGGAACCAAUCCGGGUGAACGGACUCUGCGCUGCCGGGCGGCAUGCGCCGGAAGAGUCCCAGGGAGCCUUCGACCGAACCCCACAGCUAACCUCGCAGGCAUCGGAAGGAGUUCUC
rnacentral:sRNA from 2 species